rnacentral:rRNA from 1 species
AGUUUGAUCCUGGCUCAGGAUGAACGCUGGCGGCGUGCUUAACACAUGCAAGUCGAACGGUGAAACGACAACCGGCAUGUUCAACGGUUGGAAAGAUUUUUUGGGUCAGGGAUGGGCUCGCGGCCUAUCAGCUUGUUGGUGAGGUAAUGGCUCACCAAGGCGUCGACGGGUAGCCGGCCUGAGAGGGUGACCGGCCACACUGGGACUGAGACACGGCCCAGACUCCUACGGGAGGCAGCAGUGGGGAAUAUUGCACAAUGGGCGGAAGCCUGAUGCAGCAACGCCGCGUGAGGGAUGACGGCCUUCGGGUUGUAAACCUCUUUUAGCAGGGAAGAAGCGAAAGUGACGGUACCUGCAGAAAAAGCGCCGGCUAACUACGUGCCAGCAGCCGCGGUAAUACGUAGGGCGCAAGCGUUAUCCGGAAUUAUUGGGCGUAAAGAGCUCGUAGGCGGUUUGUCGCGUCUGCUGUGAAAUCCCGAGGCUCAACCUCGGGCCUGCAGUGGGUACGGGCAGACUAGAGUGCGGUAGGGGAGAUUGGAAUUCCUGGUGUAGCGGUGGAAUGCGCAGAUAUCAGGAGGAACACCGAUGGCGAAGGCAGAUCUCUGGGCCGUUACUGACGCUACUGAGCGAAAGGGUGGGGAGCAAACAGGCUUAGAUACCCUGGUAGUCCACCCCGUAAACGAUGAGAACUAGUUGUGGGGUCCAUUCCACGGAUUCCGUGACGCAGCUAACGCAUUAAGUUCCCCGCCUGGGGAGUACGGGCGCAAGGCUAAAACUCAAAGGAAUUGACGGGGACCCGCACAAGCGGCGGAGCAUGCGGAUUAAUUCGAUGCAACGCGAAGAACCUUACCAAGGCUUGACAUACACGAGAACGCUGCAGAAAUGUAGAACUCUUUGGACACUCGUGAACAGGUGGUGCAUGGUUGUCGUCAGCUCGUGUCGUGAGAUGUUGGGUUAAGUCCCGCAACGAGCGCAACCCUCGUUCUAUGUUGCCAGCACGUAAUGGUGGGAACUCAUGGGAUACUGCCGGGGUCAACUCGGAGGAAGGUGGGGAUGACGUCAAAUCAUCAUGCCCCUUAUGUCUUGGGCUUCACGCAUGCUACAAUGGCCGGUACAAAGGGCUGCAAUACCGUAAGGUGGAGCGAAUCCCAAAAAGCCGGUCCCAGUUCGGAUUGAGGUCUGCAACUCGACCUCAUGAAGUCGGAGUCGCUAGUAAUCGCAGAUCAGCAACGCUGCGGUGAAUACGUUCCCGGGUCUUGUACACACCGCCCGUCAAGUCAUGAAAGUCGGUAACACCUGAAGCCGGUGGCCCAACCCUUGUGGAGGGAGCCGUCGAAGGUGGGA